rnacentral:piRNA from 1 species
UGGCUGUGUCAUUGUUUAACUUGG